rnacentral:pre_miRNA from 1 species
ACAUAAGAGGUGCUUCUCCCCAGAAUCACUUAAAAUCACUAAAAGUGAUUAUAUGGAGAAGCACAUGGAAUAUG